GGGAGGUUCUGAGCGGCUCCCAGGCACAUUUUUCUGUGACUUUUUUUGGAGAGCGAAAAGAGACUACGGAGAGGUCUGCACUCACUGGGUAGAGCAGGAACAGAGAAUAGAAGGGUAACCACCAGGCAGGAGUGGAAGCCCCUCUCAGCACAGCCCUGAGGCAGAGAGAGCCUACUGCCUACCAAAGGACCAUCAUCUCCAUGCCAGCCUUCCAAUCGAUGGAGAAGAGAAAGGACAAAACAACAAAGGAGACAGCAGAGCCCAUGCUUCCUCCUCCUGACCUUCAUCCUCAGCACUAGGUCUGACCCAGCCUGGCUUGGCCCAUGCCACCCCAUAGCCCCCAAGGCUGUCUCCCAUUCUUACUUCAGCUUCAGCAGACAGAGUUCCCAUUCUGACCUGUCCACGCUGCCUCACUCUGCCUGCAACUCCACUGUACACAAUUCAAAAUAAGAAGCAUUCACUGAGCACCUACUAUGUGCCAGGCCCUAGGCAAUGUAGAAUUAGAUCCAAAGGUCCUCCUUCCAAAUCAGGACUCUCUUUUUUGAUUACCCUCCAGAAUCACAUGGAUCUUUAUGUCAAUGAUGAAAGUAGUAAUAAUAAUGCCCAAAAGUUAUACAGAAUUUAAGGCACUAGUCUAAGCAUUUGCCUAUACUAACUCAUCCAACCCCCUAACAUCCCUAUGAGGUAUCGUUCAUAUUUACCAGCACACUGAGGCAGAGCGAUUACUAGUAAGGCUACAAGCUAGUAAGCAGAGCAGAUGUAGCACAGGCAGCCUGGCUCUGGAGUCAAGGUCUGUACUACUGGGCUGAAAGCUGGUAGGAGCAGUGGAAAGAGAAGCAACAUUCAACUCAGUAUAUUUUAACACAACACUUACUAGGUGCUCAGACCAAGGAGUCAGGGAUGAAUGGAAGUGCCUCCAAGAGGGAAGUUCCUUCUUCUCCCUCUUUUCAGAAACAAGGCCAGCCCAUGCAAACACACCUCCAACACCAUUAUAUCCUAGCAGACAGGGCCUCCCGCCUCGAAAUCCACUCACUCAUUGUGUCUCCACUCCUUUCACCCUCCUCUGCCCACCCACACUCAUUAACCCAGCACUCUGGAUGCUACAGUCACCCAAAGCCCCCUUACUCUGUCGAUCCUUUGAUUCUGUGUCUCUACCUAGCAUUCCCUCUGUGACCUGAGAGUCAACCUCCAACCUUCACACUCCCUGACUUGGGUAAUAGAUCUGCCCGUCGCCACCUAACCGGUACUUCUCCCCACCUGCAGGUACAUUAAGAUCCUAGCUUAGACUUUGUACCUAUCAACACAAUAUACAUGCUUGAUCAACCCUUGCUGCUUUGAUUAACCUUUAUUCAUUUAUUCCUUCAACAAAUAAUGUCCAUCUACCAUAUGCCAGAUAACGUACAGAAUCCUUUAUUGGCGUCCAUUAUUCCUUUAUAUCCCCUGAAGAUCACUAUUAGGUUUUUAUUACCUCCAUUCUAUAUAUGGGGAAGCUGAGCUCUUGGCAUUUUUAUCAAGUUCUUGGGGAAUCAUUUGCUAUGCUGUGGGCUCCUUGAAGCUGAGCCUACCUUUCACUUUUCUGCCCCAGCCCUCCAGGAGGCACUCGGCAAACAGUUGUGUAAUUGCGUUAGAUUAACAAACCAACCGGGUGCUCCGAGCAGCCUGACCCUGACAAUAUCCAGCAGACAACUUGCUGACCUGAAAGCCCUCUCUCAUUCAUGUCACACAAUAAAAAUUGACCUGAACACCACCUGCUUUAUCAGCAACCACCAGCCACUACCAGAGCUUUGCAAAUGAGGAAUGGUUAGAAACCUCACUCUCACCGCAUCUUCCAGGGAAAAGAACCAAAAGCAAUCAUCUGGGGUGAAGGGUGGACCCCUGCCAGCCAGGUCACUUCCUGGGGAGGAGAGCAUUCAGUCUGGGCACCUGGAAAUAUAACACAUACAGUGUCUGCUCCUUGUUGCCCGGGAGGCCUUGACAGCUGUCAGCUGUUCUGACAUAUCCUGACAAUAAUGAGCCCAUAAUGCCUCUUCAGGGUCUUGCUAAGUCAUCAGAUCCCUGGGUGAUGCCAUCUGCUGGGGGAGCACGCCCAGAGAUUCUGAUCCCAAGGCAGCAGCCAUACAAAGAGAUUUUAUCCUGGGAUUUAUGCCAGGUACAGAGGCCUGACCUGACACUGCAGGGUUUAGAAUUCAGAGCCAAUAGACCAAGUGUCCCCAAGGAGAAAAGCAAAUGAU